CCUCUCCUUGGGAGAAGCCCCAGAACACAGCUCCUCACCAUGGACUGGACCUGGAGGAUCCUCUUCCUGGUGGCAGCAGCAACAGCUGUCCACUCCCAGGUGCAGCUGGUGCAGUCUGGGCCAGAGCUGAAGCAACCUGGGGCAUCAGUAAGGGUCUCCUGCAAGGCUUCUGGUUACACCUUCAACAGCUAUGCUAUCAACUGGGUGCGACAGGUCCCUGGACAAGGGCUUGAGGGGAUGGGAUGGAUCAACACCAACACCGGGAAGCCACCGUAUGCCCAGGGCUUCACAGGACAAUUUGUCUUCUCCAUGGACACCUCGGUCAGCACAGCAUAUCUGCAGAUCGGCAGCCUGAAGCCUGAGGACAGGGCCGUGUAUUACUGUGCGAGAGACACAGUGUGA